rnacentral:rRNA from 1 species
GACGAACGCUGGCGGCGUGCCUAAUACAUGCAAGUUGAGCGAUGAAGAUUGGUGCUUGCACCAAUUUGAAGAGCAGCGAACGGGUGAGUAACGCGUGGGGAAUCUGCCUUUGAGCGGGGGACAACAUUUGGAAACGAAUGCUAAUACCGCAUAACAACUUUAAACAUAAGUUUUAAGUUUGAAAGAUGCAAUUGCAUCACUCAAAGAUGAUCCCGCGUUGUAUUAGCUAGUUGGUGAGGUAAAGGCUCACCAAGGCGAUGAUACAUAGCCGACCUGAGAGGGUGAUCGGCCACAUUGGGACUGAGACACGGCCCAAACUCCUACGGGAGGCAGAAGUAGGGAAUCUUCGGCAAUGGACGAAAGUCUGACCGAGCAACGCCGCGUGAGUGAAGAAGGUUUUCGGAUCGUAAAACUCUGUUGGUAGAGAAGAACGUUGGUGAGAGUGGAAAGCUCAUCAAGUGACGGUAACUACCCAGAAAGGGACGGCUAACUACGUG